rnacentral:rRNA from 1 species
UACGUAGGGUGCGAGCGUUGUCCGGAAUUACUGGGCGUAAAGAGCUCGUAGGUGGUUUGUCGCGUUGUUCGUGAAAACUCACAACUCAAUUGUGGGCGUGCGGGCGAUACGGGCAGACUGGAGUACUGCAGGGGAGACUGGAAUUCCUGGUGUAGCGGUGAAAUGCGCAGAUAUCAGGAGGAACACUGAUGGCGAAGGCAGGUCUCUGGGCCAUAACUGACGCUGAGAAGCGAAAGCGUGGGGAGCAAACAGG